rnacentral:misc_RNA from 1 species
AACGCACAUUGCGCCCUCUGGUAUUCCGGAGGGCAUGCCUGUUCGAGCGUCAUUUCAACCCUCAAGCCUGGCUUGGUGAUGGGGUACUGCCUCCUAGCGGGGGCAGGCCCUGAAAUUCAGUGGCGAGCUCGCCAGGACUCCGAGCGUAGUAGUUAAACCCUCGCUCUGGAAGGACUGGCGGUGCCCUGCCGUUAAACCCCCAACUUCUGAAAAUUUGACCUCGGAUCAGGUAGGAAUACCCGCUGAACUUAA